UUCGCAAUGCCCGAAAGGGUGACGAAGCGACGCCGCGUGCGGGAAGAAGGCCUUCGGGUUGUAAACCGCUGUCGGGAGUUAGGAAGUGCAAGGAUGUUAAUAGCGUUCUUGCUUGACUAAGGCUCCGGAGGAAGCCACGGCUAACUCUGUGCCAGCAGCCGCGGUAAUACAGAGGCGGCAAGCGUUGUUCGGAAUUAUUGGACGUAAAGAGCACGUAGGCGGCUGUGUAAGUCGGUUGUGAAAGCCUUCCGCUUAACGGAAGAACGGCAUCCGAUACUGCAUAGCUUGAGUGCGGGAGGGGAGAGUGGAACUUCUGGUGGAGCGGUGAAAUGCGUAGAUAUCAGAAGGAACACCGGCGGCGAAGGCGACUCUCUGGUCCGUAACUGACGCUGAGUGUGCGAAAGCUAGGGGAGCAAACGGGAUUAGAUACCCCGGUAGUCCUAGCCGUAAACGAUGGGCACUAAGUAGAGGGGUUUU
rnacentral:rRNA from 1 species